rnacentral:rRNA from 1 species
AUUGAACGCUGGCGGCAUGCCUUACACAUGCAAGUCGAACGGUAACGGGUCCUUCGGGAUGCCGACGAGUGGCGAACGGGUGAGUAAUAUAUCGGAACGUGCCCAGUAGUGGGGGAUAACUGCUCGAAAGAGCAGCUAAUACCGCAUACGACCUGAGGGUGAAAGGGGGGGAUCGCAAGACCUCUCGCUAUUGGAGCGGCCGAUAUCAGAUUAGCUAGUUGGUGGGGUAAAGGCCUACCAAGGCAACGAUCUGUAGUUGGUCUGAGAGGACGACCAGCCACACUGGGACUGAGACACGGCCCAGACUCCUACGGGAGGCAGCAGUGGGGAAUUUUGGACAAUGGGCGCAAGCCUGAUCCAGCAAUGCCGCGUGCAGGAAGAAGGCCUUCGGGUUGUAAACUGCUUUUGUCAGGGAAGAAAUCUUCUGGGCUAAUACCCCGGGAGGAUGACGGUACCUGAAGAAUAAGCACCGGCUAACUACGUGCCAGCAGCCGCGGUAAUACGUAGGGUGCGAGCGUUAAUCGGAAUUACUGGGCGUAAAGCGUGCGCAGGCGGCUUUGCAAGACAGAUGUGAAUCCCCGGGCUCAACCUGGGAACUGCAUUUGUGACUGCAAGGCUAGAGUACGGCAGAGGGGGAUGGAAUUCCGCGUGUAGCAGUGAAAUGCGUAGAUAUGCGGAGGAACACCAAUGGCGAAGGCAAUCCCCUGGGCCUGUACUGACGCUCAUGCACGAAAGCGUGGGGAGCAAACAGGAUUAGAUACCCUGGUAGUCCACGCCCUAAACGAUGUCAACUGGUUGUUGGACGGCUUGCUGUUCAGUAACGAAGCUAACGCGUGAAGUUGACCGCCUGGGGAGUACGGCCGCAAGGUUGAAACUCAAAGGAGUUGACGGGGACCCGCACAAGCGGUGGAUGAUGUGGUUUAAUUCGAUGCAACGCGAAAAACCUUACCUACCCUUGACAUGUCAAGAAUUCUGCAGAGAUGUGGAAGUGCUCGAAAGAGAACUUGAACACAGGUGCUGCAUGGCCGUCGUCAGCUCGUGUCGUGAGAUGUUGGGUUAAGUCCCGCAACGAGCGCAACCCUUGUCAUUAGUUGCUACGCAAGAGCACUCUAAUGAGACUGCCGGUGACAAACCGGAGGAAGGUGGGGAUGACGUCAGGUCCUCAUGGCCCUUAUGGGUAGGGCUACACACGUCAUACAAUGGCCGGUACAGAGGGCUGCCAACCCGCGAGGGGGAGCCAAUCCCAGAAAACCGGUCGUAGUCCGGAUCGUAGUCUGCAACUCGACUGCGUGAAGUCGGAAUCGCUAGUAAUCGCGGAUCAGCUUGCCGCGGUGAAUAAGUUCCCGGGUCU